rnacentral:rRNA from 1 species
UACGAAGGGGGCUAGCGUUGCUCGGAAUCACUGGGCGUAAAGCGCACGUAGGCGGUCUCUUAAGUCGGUGGUGAAAUCCUGGAGCUCAACUCCAGAACUGCCUUCGAUACUGGGAGUCUCGAGUCCGAGAGAGGUGAGUGGAACUGCGAGUGUAGAGGUGAAAUUCGUAGAUAUUCGCAAGAACACCAGUGGCGAAGGCGGCUCACUGGCUCGGUACUGACGCUGAGGUGCGAAAGCGUGGGGAGCAAACAGG